rnacentral:rRNA from 1 species
UACAGAGGGUGCGAGCGUUGUCCGGAAUCACUGGGCGUAAAGGGCGCGUAGGCGGCGCGGUAAGUCACUUGUGAAAUCUCUGAGCUUAACUCAGAACGGCCAAGUGAUACUGCAGUGCUAGAGUGUGGAAGGGGCAAUCGGAAUUCUUGGUGUAGCGGUGAAAUGCGUAGAUAUCAAGAGGAACACCUGAGGUGAAGACGGGUUGCUGGGCCAACACUGACGCUGAGGCGCGAAAGCCAGGGGAGCAAACGGG